ensembl:misc_RNA Metazoa_SRP Metazoan signal recognition particle RNA
GCCAGGCAUGGUGGCAUGUGCCUGUAGUCCUAGCUACUUGGGAGGCUAAGGUAGGAGGAUUGCUUGAGCCCAGGAAGUUGAGGCUGCAGUGAGCUGUGACUGUGCCACUGCACUCCAGCCUGGGCGACAGAGCGAGACCCUGUCUCAA